rnacentral:lncRNA from 1 species
UAGAUAUAAACUAUCAAUUAAGAAUCUAUAAUAUAAAAAAUUUACAUAUAAAAUUUGAUAUAAAAUAAAAAACUGCAUCAAUCACAUCGAUGCCCUGAAUUUGAUCUAACCUAUAGAUCAUAUUGGUUGAGUUCAGAACUCAUCAUCUUUUCAUAGAUCGAUGAUCUCUACUAUUGGUAUGCAUGAUAUGAAGCUCUCACUAAUGUUGAGUAGCUGCACAGAUUGUCCGAUCUCUACAAAUCAUCCCCUCGAAGCCCUGAUCGGAUCUUCCUUUGCGGGAGUGCUAGCUCACGUCGAAAGCUCUAGAUGGC